AGUGAACGCUGGCGGUAGGCCUAACACAUGCAAGUCGAACGGCAGCACAGUAAGAGCUUGCUCUUACGGGUGGCGAGUGGCGGACGGGUGAGGAAUACAUCGGAAUCUACUUUUUCGUGGGGGAUAACGUAGGGAAACUUACGCUAAUACCGCAUACGACCUACGGGUGAAAGCAGGGGAUCUUCGGACCUUGCGCGAUUGAAUGAGCCGAUGUCGGAUUAGCUAGUUGGCGGGGUAAAGGCCCACCAAGGCGACGAUCCGUAGCUGGUCUGAGAGGAUGGUCGCGCGCACGGGAAGGAAACACUGACCGUACCCCUGCGGGAGGACACCAGGGGGAAUAAUUGAAAAGUGGCGAAAGGCCGAAUCCACCCAUACCGGGGGAGAAAGGAAGGCCUCGGGGUUGUAAGGCCCUUUGUUGGGGAAAAAAAAGCAAGGGUAGAAUCCCCCCGUUUCUGGGCGGUACCCAAGGAAUAAACACCGGCAAUUUUCGUG
rnacentral:rRNA from 1 species